UACGUAGGGUGCGAGCGUUAAUCGGAUUUACUGGGCGUAAAGAGCUCGUAGGCGGUAGUUCAAGUCAGGUGUGAAAUCCGACGGCUUAACCGGAGGACUGCACCUGAUACUGGGCUGCUAGAGGUAAGGAGAGGAAGGUGGAAUUCCCGGUGUAGCGGUGAAAUGCGUAGAGAUCUGGAGGAAUACCGGUGGCGAAGGCGGCCCCCUGGACAAAGACUGACGCUCAGGCACGAAAGCGUGGGGAGCAAACAGG
rnacentral:rRNA from 1 species